rnacentral:rRNA from 1 species
UACAUCGGAACGUGCCAUUGAGUGGGGGAUAACGUAGCGAAAGUUACGCUAAUACCGCAUAUUCUGUGAGCAGGAAAGCAGGGGACCGCAAGGCCUUGCGCUCUUUGAGCGGCCGAUGUCAGAUUAGCUAGUUGGUGAGGUAAAGGCUUACCAAGGCGACGAUCUGUAGCGGGUCUGAGAGGAUGAUCCGCCACACUGGAACUGAGACACGGUCCAGACUCCUACGGAGGCAGCAGUGGGGAAUUUUGGACAAUGGGCGCAAGCCUGAUCCAGCCAUGCCGCGUGAGUGAAGAAGGCCUUCGGGUUGUAAAGCUCUUUCGGCCGGGAAGAAAUCGCAUGGGUUAAUACCCUGUGUGGAUGACGGUACCGGAAUAAGAAGCACCGGCUAACUACGUG